GUGGUCAUAAUUUUUCAUUUGAAUUUGUCUGGUUUCAGUUUUUGCCACUGGAUUGGACACUCUUCAGAGAAUAGCUCCACAAGAAGGUUUUAUACAAUACAUUCAAAUUCCCUUUCUGUCUGCAUGUCUGCAUUUUUAUAAAAAGACUGUUAUGCAAACCACUGAAAAUGAAUGUCAAAUUGCUCAUCCAGCACUUCCUGUCUGAAUCUCAUCUUUCCAGGAUAUUGUCCAUCAUUCUAUAAUUACCAAAUGUUUGCUAUGGGCAGUGAAAAUCUGGUUCCCAUUUCCUACAAGGGCCAAAAAUGUAGUUUUGUUGGAGAUGCAGAACAUUUAAUGUGGUAUGAUAUCAGUUUCAUAUGGGAAAAUACCGUAUGCUGCUCCACUCAAAUUGUAGUCUCACAUUGUGUCAGCUUCCAUGACGACAGCAGUUUAAAGAAUUUCCAACCUCUUCAUCUCCUCUGCUGUGCUAACAUAAGCUUUCAUGAAGCUGGACUCUUGGCUGAAACAGUGAAACAAUGCAGGCCAAAACCACCCCAAGGUAAAACCCUUUUACUUUCAAGCCAGGCGAGCUCACUGAUCUUGGUGGCAUUGCAGCCUCACAAAGAAUUGUGUCAGCUCAGCUGAGCCUGGAGGUGGGGUGGGGACACACACAUAAGCAGCUGGGACAGAGAUGCACACAGAGAACUUCUUGUUCUUCCAAUCUAGUUACACAAAACUGGCAAUGUUAAAGCAGUGUGAGUUUUAGUUAAAGCUAGGUAUUAGCCAGCAGCAUGACAAAUGCAAAGUACAAACGUUUCACAUCAAGAUUUGCCCCAAUUUCUGGGAGGGAAUUUGUAUUUAAAUUAUUAUCUUAGGUGAGCUGGCAUGCCUGAAUGCAAAACACAGAGAUUCAUGUUCAAUUGUGACAAAGAAAAGUAGCAGCACAAGUCUUCCAUUCAUGUGUUGUUUAAAUCAUUCAGGUCAUAUAAAGGAUCCUGAGAUGUAUUUUUCUAAUGUAAAGGAAACCUCCCUGCCGUAUCGUCUACUCUGGUCGUUACUCUUGCACUGCCUCCAGGCAGUGAUAUGGGGUCAUCUUUCUAAAUUUCUGUAUAGCUGUGAAAAGAAAAUUUCUUAGUUUAACUAAAGCUAUUACUGUUUGUCUCAAAACUACCUCAGGGUAUAGAACUUGUAUGACCAGUGUAUAUACACAUGUAUAACUUCUGCUGGUUUCUGUCUACAUUUCUAGUUCAAAAUGUAAAACUCUGGGAUCAGAAUUUAUAUUGGAUCAUAUCCAAAUUAUCCAUCCCUAUGUCAAAGCAUCCAAAUUUUAUAUAACUCAUUUUCAAAUUAGACAGCUUUUUGAUUUUUUUUCAGAUUUCAAUAAUGUAAUCUUGUCCAGAAGAUGCCAUCCUAAUUACAUGUAAUUAAUAUAAUGAGAUUACACAUGUCUGUGUGGAAAAAUAGGUUUUUCUUCCCUUCUGUUGCCUAA